AUGCGUGCUCCGGGGUCGGUGAAAGUCCGAACCGGCGGUGACAGUCCGCGACCCGGCCGAGUCCAUCGGCCGGUUGAACCGGUGGAAUUCCGGUACCGACGGUGAAAGUCCGGAUGGGAGGCAGCACGCGU
rfam:Nocardiopsis flavescens strain CGMCC 4.5723 genome assembly, contig: Ga0104439_102